rnacentral:rRNA from 1 species
GAUAAACGCUGACAGAAUGCUUAACGACAUGCAAGUCAAUCGAUGAGAAGCUAAGCUAAGCUUAGAAGAAGUCAUGGCGGACGGGUGAGUAACGUGUAAAGAACUUGCCCUCUAGACUGGGAUAACAGAUAGAAAUGUCUGAUAAUACCGGAUAUUAUUGUUACAUGGCAUCAUGUUGGAACUGAAAGGAUAAGAUUGCUAGAGGAGAGCUUUGCAUCCUAUUAGCUAGUUGGUAAGGUAGCGGCUUACCAAGGCGAUGACUAGGUAGCCGGCCUGAGAGGGUGGACGGCCACAAGGGGACUGAGAUACGGCCCUU